AGGGAUUUAGCUCAGCGGCAUAAGCACCUGCCUUGCAAGCAGGCAGUCCUGAGUUCAAUUCCUG
rnacentral:tRNA from 1 species